GAUGAACGCUGGCGGCGUGCCUAAUACAUGCAAGUCGAGCGAACAGACGAGGAGCUUGCUCCUCUGACGUUAGCGGCGGACGGGUGAGUAACACGUGGAUAACCAACCUAUAAGACUGGGAUAACUUCGGGAAACCGGAGCUAAUACCGGAUAAUAUAUUGAACCGCAUGGUUCAAUAGUGAAAGACGGUUUUGCUGUCACUUAUAGAUGGAUCCGCGCCGCAUUAGCUAGUUGGUAAGGUAACGGCUUACCAAGGCAACGAUGCGUAGCCGACCUGAGAGGGUGAUCGGCCACACUGGAACUGAGACACGGUCCAGACUCCUACGGGAGGUAGCAGUAGGGAAUCUUCCGCAAUGGGCGAAAGCCUGACGGAGCAACGCCGCGUGAGUGAUGAAGGUCUUCGGAUCGUAAAACUCUGUUAUUAGGGAAGAACAAAUGUGUAAGUAACUAUGCACGUCUUGACGGUACCUAAUCAGAAAGCCACGGCUAACUACGUG
rnacentral:rRNA from 1 species